GCUUGUGUAGCUUAAUUAUUAGAGUUUAAUAUUGAAGUUAUUAAGGUAAAUUUAUUUCGUAGGCG
rnacentral:tRNA from 1 species